rnacentral:rRNA from 1 species
UACGUAGGUGGCAAGCGUUGUCCGGAUUUACUGGGUCGUAAAGAGCGACGCAGGCGGUCGUUCAAGUCGCGUGUGAAAGCCCCCGGCUCCAACUGGGGAGGGUCGACGCGAUACUGAUCGACUCGAAGGCAGGAGAGGGAAGUGGAAUUCCCGGUGUAGCGGUGAAUGCGUAGAUAAUCUGGAGGAACACCGGUGGCGAAGGCGGC